UCUCGCUUCGGCGGUACAUAUACUAAAAUUGGAACGAUACAGAGAAGAUUAGCAUGGCCCCUGCGCAAGGAUGACUCUAAGGAAUACUAAAUAUACACUACGAGU